GAUGAACGCUAGCGGCAGGCUUAACACAUGCAAGUCGAGGGGUAGAGGUUGCUUGCAACCUUGAGACCGGCGCACGGGUGCGUAACGCGUAUGCAACCUACCUUUUACAGAGGGAUAGCCCAGAGAAAUUUGGAUUAAUACCUCAUAGUAUAUAACCUUCGCAUGUUGGUUAUAUUAAAGUUCCAACGGUAAAAGAUGGGCAUGCGUCCUAUUAGCUAGAUGGUAAGGUAACGGCUUACCAUGGCAACGAUAGGUAGGGGUCCUGAGAGGGAGAUCCCCCACACUGGUACUGAGACACGGACCAGACUCCUACGGGAGGCAGCAGUGAGGAAUAUUGGACAAUGGGCGCAAGCCUGAUCCAGCCAUGCCGCGUGCAGGAAGAAGCAUCUAUGGUGUGUAAACUGCUUUUGUACAGGAAGAAACACCCCGACGUGUCGGGGCUUGACGGUACUGUAAGGAUAAGGAUCGGCUAGCUCCGUGCCAGCCGCCGCGGUAA
rnacentral:rRNA from 1 species